rnacentral:rRNA from 1 species
AUUGAACGCUGGCGGCAGGCCUAACACAUGCAAGUCGAGCGGAUGAAGGGAGCUUGCUCCUGGAUUCAGCGGCGGACGGGUGAGUAAUGCCUAGGAAUCUGCCUGGUAGUGGGGGAUAACGUCCGGAAACGGGCGCUAAUACCGCAUACGUCCUGAGGGUGAAAGUGGGGGAUCUUCGGACCUCACGCUCUCAGAUGAGCCUAGGUCGGAUUAGCUAGUUGGUGGGGUAAAGGCCUACCAAGGCGACGAUCCGUAACUGGUCUGAGAGGAUGAUCAGUCACACUGGAGCUGAGACAGGGUCCAGAGUCCUACGGGAGGCAGCAGUGGGGAAUAUUGGACAAUAGGCGGAAGCCUGAUCCAGCCAUGCCGAGUGUGUGAAGAAGGUCUUCGGAUUGUAAAGCAGUUUAAGUUGGGAGGAAGGGCAGUAAGUUAAUACCUUGCUGUUUUGACGUUACCAACAGAAUAAGCACCGGCUAACUUCGUG